UUGGAGGGCAAGUCUGGUGCCAGCAGCCGCGGUAAUUCCAGCUCCAAUAGCGUAUAUUAAAGUUGUUGCAGUUAAAAAGCUCGUAGUUGAAUUUCGAGACCGGCUUAUUGGUCGUGCUAUUGUACGUACUGGUAUAAUCGGUUUCUCCUUUCUGACGAACUAUAAUGCCAUUAAUUUGGUGUUAUAGGGAAUCAGGACUGUUACUUUGAAAAAAUUAGAGUGUUUAAAGCAGGCUCACGCUUGAAUACAUUAGCAUGGAAUAACGGAAUAGGACGUUUGAUUCUAUUUUGUUGGUUUCUAGGAUCGACGUAAUGAUUAAUAGGGAUAGUUGGGGGCAUUGGUAUUCAAUUGUCAGAGGUGAAAUUCUUGGAUUUAUUGAAGACUAACUACUGCGAAAGCAUUUGCCAAGGAUGUUUUCAUUAAUCAAGAACGAAAGUUAGGGGAUCGAAGACGAUCAGAUACCGUCGUAGUCUUAACCAUAAACUAUGCCGACUAGGGAUCGGAUGAUGUUAAUUUUUUAAUGACUCAUUCGGCGCCUUACGGGAAAC
rnacentral:rRNA from 1 species